UCUGUAGAAUGAAAAUCUGAAACAAAAUGCAAAGCUGGUCCAGUUUCUCAAGGCACGACAAAGUGUUCUCAGUGACAUACGGAAUCGCGGUAGUGCUGGAUGUUCAACAGCGGAUGAAAAUAGGAGAAAGUAUAAGUCCCUUUUCUUACUGACUGGCCUAUCUUAUCUUUAACCGAUUUUCCUGCGCACACAUGCACGCACAUUCGGCUCGUGUUCAUAUAAUAGCACGUGUUGUAAUAUAUUAUUGCAGGAUGGGAUAAGUUACAAUUUUUUGUCGUACUUGUCUGGUACUCCAAUCAUUAUUGUCGCUUGCUGGGACAAAUCAGUACUCAGGAGCUUCAGAGCACACUUGCAAAUACAACUGAACACUUAUACCGUCCAUGCAGUCCAACAUUCCUUAGAUCCAUCCGUCUACUGUUUCAUUAGCAAAAGUUGUUUAGGCGUUGUUUACAGCAUUAAACUAGGAAGAGGGGCUGACAAUGUUUGUUUUGUCAAUGUGCAUUAACUUUGCAAUAUUGGCUGGAACGGACUAGUCAAGGGUUAUGUCCAAGAUCGUAGCUACCUAGUCCCUAUACUUAACUACGGUUUCGAAUACCUUAAUUAGCCUUGGAAAGGUCAUAUGUAAAUAAUGUAAGUAUAGCAAGAGUUCCACAUACUUGGCU
rnacentral:lncRNA from 1 species